rnacentral:misc_RNA from 1 species
AACAAAUCCAAGCGUCAAGCUUUUGAAAUGGCGGCUACUCUACUUCCUACAUAGAUACUCUUUGUUACUCAAGACAUCCACAAAAUGUCAGCUGCAUCCUCGCCAGAAGCAACCACCAGUAGCUCACUGUCUUCACUCACGCCGUCUACAUUUAGAAAAGAGCCACAACUAUCAGCACUUUCAGGAGAAAAUGUUUCUGAAGCAAGCCCACCGUUGUCUUCUAAAAGCAAUGACGAGGAUAUACUGAAAGAAGUUUGUCUGAACAAUGGCGUAACAUAUACCAAAAUAAGUGAGGAGGGGCCAUCAGUGGAUGUUCUUGAGAUGUUUUUCUCUGGUUUUUCUCGCAUUAUUGGGAUGCAUCACUUUCCUAAUAUUCACACACUCACCAUCAUAGGGCAGAGCAUUUCACAGAUUGUUGGACUUACUCCACUUUCCAAGCUGAGGGAGCUGUGGGUAGCAGAAUGUCAGGUAGAGAAAAUUGAAGGUCUAGAAGAGUGUACUAAGUUGCAGAAGCUUUACCUUUAUGGCAACAAGAUUGAAGCCAUUGAAAAUUUGGAUAAUCUUCUUCUGGAGGUUUUGUGGUUAAAUGGCAAUGCCAUUAAAAACAUUGAGAACCUAUCACAUCUGCAACAACUAAGAGAGCUAAAUCUGGCUGAAAACAUCAUCAGUAAAAUUGGUCAUGCUUUGAACUCAAACAUUUACAUUGAAGACUUGAACUUAUCUGGGAAUCCAAUCUCUUCUUUGCGGGAUGUAACAAAUCUCAUGCGGCUGCCCAAUCUCAAAAGUCUCAGUUUUAAAGAUCCACUGUACCAGCCUAGCCCUGUUGCAACUUUGUGUAAUUACUCAGCUCACAUUCUCUUUCACCUGCCCUCACUUUGUCGCCUUGACACAUACGAUGUAACCUCCAAGAACCUGAAAGAUCUUGCACAGAGCACAGUCCUGAAAAAGAAAAUGUACUAUAACAUGCGUACAAAGACGGUGAAGAGGAACAUGGCUAGCUUGCUGCAGAAGAUGGAAAGGCACAAAGAACUGGAUGUCCUGAUGAUACCUUACCAGCGCCUCCGCACACUCACCUAUGCAAUUAAAGAGAUAGAACGAGAAAUAGAAGAAUGUGAAAGGACCUUGUGUCAAACUGCUGAUGUGCAUGACAGUGACACAGAAAGUGAGAGAGAUGCUCAUGAACAGUUUAAAACUGGUGAUAGAAGCAUGUCACGGGCAUUUCAGACCAAGCUGACAUUGCUGAAUGAGAGAAAGGCACACUGGGAGCGGAAAUGCUCAGAAGUGGAAGAAGUUUUCAAGGAAGCAAAGCAGCGGCUCCAGCAAAAAGCUGACACUAUCAUAAACAGGCUGGAAAUAGAACUUGAGACAGGUGGUAAUGUCAGAUUUGAAGAGGGAACCCCAGAAGAUCUUUGGUUUACAUCAUGUCGUGACUUGGUCAUGUCACGGUUUUGUGCCAAGGAUUUCCUGUCACAUGACAUCAUAGGGGUGACAAUUCACAAAAUUAUACGUAUCCAAAAUCGUAUUCUUCGGGAACGUUUUGACAAGCAAUUUUUAAGGAAUACUAAUGAAUUAGCAAAAUACUGCCGUGGUAAAAAAAACACAAAUUACAAAAGACUCUUGGAAUACCUUUUCUGGAUAUGGGAUCCUGAUAUGCCAGGGGGAUGGAAUGAGCCUGCACGUGUGCCUGAAGAAGGAUUCAUGGAUGCUGAGAGUUACAAGAUGCUGGGACGUCCAGCAGCAGUGCCUCUCAGCAACAGUUUGUACCUUGCUGACCGCCACAGAAUUGCAUCCACAAUAAAAUAUCAGCGGGAACAUGGCAACAAUGACCCCUGCCCCUUUAGAUUUGGUCAGAUGGUAGUAUCCAAAACAUACCUUGGAAAAAGUAUGAAAUUCCUCAACAAGCCGGUUGCAACAGAGUACUAUCCAGCGAUUGACACCAUCUUCAAGUCAUGGUUGUCCUGCUUCCCUCACAAAGAAGAAAACUUUUGUGAGUGCAGACAACGGCAAUGUGAGUGGUAUGUCUUCAACCAUGAGUUUGUCCUUCCAGAAUACAUCAUCGAGUUUGAAUAUAUCACUAAGGAGUCUCCUGAGUUUCCUUUCAUUUCCUUGCCAGAAAAACUGUCAGGAAACAAGAUGUCAGAUAUUCUUCUCAUGUCUCCGAAAACAGUUGAUGACAUUUCAGACAGCGUUGUUCUAAACAUGGAACCGGAAGUGCCACAUCAAAAUCGAAUUGUAUCUAUGACUGAAGAACAGCUCCUGAAAAUGGGUCCAGCUCAUAUUUUAAGUGCCAUAACUUACCUGAAUCUCCAUGGCAAUGGACUGUCAAAGAUGAAGGGUAUUCAAAGCCUGACCUCUCUGAAGAAGCUAAUUGUCAGCUUCAAUGAACUGACUACCCUGGAAGAUAUUUCUCAGAUGGAUCUUGAAUAUUUGGAUGCCAGUUACAAUAACAUUGUCACACUUGAGGGAAUGAAGUCUGUAAAUCUUCUAAGUCACUUAGAUUUAAGCUGGAACAAACUACAGAACUCAGAGAGGACAUUGACAAUUCUCUUUAGGAAUUCAGCAGCUGUGAGUCAUCUUGAUUUACGUCAUAACCUCUGGAAAAAGCCUGAAGCCUUGCAUUUUCGUCUCAUCGGGAACUUGAAAAAACUGGUGUGGCUCAAUGGGGAGAGUGUAGGUGAGAACGAAGUGAAUAUAGCCUUGAGGCAAUCUGCUGGAUCGUGCUUGUCCCAGCUGUUGGUGCUGGGCAACUCACGUGCUGACACUUCAUUACCCAGGUCACUUGUCCUUGGCUCAGGAGCUCACAUCAUCAUGCAGGUCAGCCGUCUAAAGCCAGAGAAGGUUUCAGAGGCUGACAACAGCUGGUAUUCUUUGGUGACCACAUUGAAGCUAGAUGGUCUGCACAUCACCAAGUUAUGUAACUUGGAUCUUUUGGAAAACCUAAGAUGGGCAUCCUUUGAUAACAAUGACCUCACGAAGAUAGAGGGACUUGAUAACUGCACAAUGCUGGAAGACCUGUCACUGGACAACAACAGAAUUGUUGAAAUCAGAGGUCUGCUGAAGUUAACCAGGCUUUGCCGUCUGAGUCUAGUCAACAAUGAGUUGAGCUCAGUGGAUGCAGAGGUCAUGGCAUGUCUGCCCAACCUAACCUUUCUAGCACUUGACAAAAAUUUCCUGACCUUGAUGGCUGGUCUACAGCAUGCCCAGUCCCUUGUGGAGCUCUACAUCAGCAACAACCUCAUAAAAAACAUACAUGAGAUAUUCUUUCUAAAGAACCUUGUCAGGCUGGUGAUUCUGGAUAUGUAUGGUAACCCCGUGUCGAGAGAAAUGGAGAACUGCCGCUUGUUUAUCAUUUUUCACCUGAGAAUGUUGAAGGCCCUCGAUGGUGAUGCAAUAGAAGCCCAUGAAGGCAUUGCAUCCAGGGAAGCUUUUGGUGGACGUCUGACAUUAGAUUUUGUGGCUGAGAAGGUGGGCCACACCACAUUUGAAGAUGUGCAAGAGCUGGAUUUUCCAAACUUUGGGAUUCGAGCAGUUGAUCUGGGUCCUGCUGGUCGGUUUAUGAACCUGAGAAGCCUCAACCUUGAAAACAACAAUUUAACAUCUUUUAAUGGCUUGACCAACCUUCUCAACCUCAGAGUGCUGUGUGUGAAUAACAACCACAUUGAGUGUAUCGUUCCGCGCAUGAAAGCAACCACAAUCAAAUCAAGACCCACACCAGGCAACACUAACAAAGUUGCUGUUGAUUUGAAUGCUGAGACACUUACACCUCUUCUCGAACGUUUGGAGGUGCUUCAUUUAGGGAACAAUGGCAUAAAAGAUAUGGCUGCAUUACAGCUUGGUCGUCUACCGUCACUCAAGGCCCUUUUCUUGCAAGGCAAUGAGAUCACCAAAGUAGAGGGCCUGGAGAGGCUGCAUGACUUGAGAGAGCUUGUACUGGAUCGCAACAAGAUCAAGGCAGUGUCAGAGUUUUCUUUUGCCAGUCAGUGGAACUUGCAAGAAUUGCACAUAGAGGAAAAUCGUCUACGAGAAGUUGGAGGAUUGAAUUUGCUGGAGAAUCUGAAGCGCCUUUACCUUGGUUCUAAUCGAAUCCAUGAUCCUGCUGACCUGGAAAAACUGGAAACAUUGUACAACCUAAGAGAUAUAUCACUCAUCAACAACCCUGUGACACGCCGAUUGAUGCACAGGGUAGUGCUGAUUCAUCACUUGCCAAAUCUGUUGGUAAUUGACGGCAUUACUGUCACUGAGGAUGAACAAUACAGGACAGAAACAUGCUAUUCUGAUCAGUCAUUAGCCACACAGACAGAGCCAUCUCUACCUGGAAUUCCACCCAACCCCAUAUACAAAAACUCCGUCCCUGUCAAAGUGACAACUGUGCAGCUGUGCUCAUCACCUUUGUGGCCGCCUUACUGUUUUGAUGAUAAUGAGGUUAUGCAGCGAGGUGUGUACCACUACUGAAAGUUCUGUCACAGGACCUCUCCUUACAUCUCUCUUACAAUUUACUGCUGCUGGUGCUGGCCGAAGACGUGUACAGCCCCGAUCUGAAAUAUCACGCACUGUAACAUGCCAGAAUCUUAACAGUGCAGUAGGCAACAAUAGUUCUUUACAGAACAACAGCAGCCGUACAGGUGGCAGCAGCAACAGCUA